rnacentral:rRNA from 1 species
UACGGGGGGGGCAAGCGUUGUUCGGAAUUACUGGGCGUAAAGGGCUCGUAGGUGGCCAACUAAGUCAGACGUGAAAUCCCUCAGCUUAACUGGGGAACUGCGUCUGAUACUGGAUGGCUUGAGAUUGGGAGAGGGAUGCGGAAUUCCAGGUGUAGCGGUGAAAUGCGUAGAUAUCUGGAGGAACACCGGUGGCGAAGGCGGCAUCCUGGACCAACACUGACACUGAGGAGCGAAAGCGUGGGGAGCAAACAGG